GCCGGGGUAGCUCAGUGGUAGAGCAACGGUUUCGUAAACCGUAGGCCGUGGGUUCAAAUCCCAUCCCCGGCU
rfam:Elusimicrobia bacterium RIFOXYA12_FTLL_49_49 rifixya3_full_scaffold_370, whole genome shotgun sequence.